AAACUAAGAACUACAGAAAUCGAU
rnacentral:siRNA from 1 species